rnacentral:rRNA from 1 species
AGUGAACGCUGGCGGUAGGCCUAACACAUGCAAGUCGAACGGCAGCACAGUAAGAGCUUGCUCUUACGGGUGGCGAGUGGCGGACGGGUGAGGAAUACAUCGGAAUCUACUUUUUCGUGGGGGAUAACGUAGGGAAACUUACGCUAAUACCGCAUACGACCUACGGCUGAAAGCAGGGGAUCUUCGGACCUUUCGCGAUUGAAUGAGCCGAUGUCGGAUUAGCUAGUUGGCGGGGUAAAGGCCCACCAAGGCGACGAUCCGUAGCUGGUCUGAGAGGAUGAUCAGCCACACUGGAACUGAGACACGGUCCAGACUCCUACGGGAGGCAGCAGUGGGGAAUAUUGGACAAAGGGCGCAAGCCUGAUCCAGCCAUGCCGCGUGGGUGAAGAAGGCCUUCGGGUUGUAAAGCCCUUUUGUUGGGAAAGAAAAGAAGCAGGUUAAUACCCCGCUGUUCUGACGGUACCCAAAGAAUAAGCACCGGCUAACUUCGUG